GACGAACGCUGGCGGCAUGCUUAACACAUGCAAGUCGAACGAAGAGCGACGGAAGCUUGCUUCUAUCAAUCUUAGUGGCGAACGGGUGAGUAACGCGUAAUCAACCUGCCCUUCAGAGGGGGACAACAGUUGGAAACGACUCCUAAUACCGCAAACGAUCUAAUCUCGGCAUCGAGGAUGGCUGAACGCUGGCCUCUACAUGUAACCUAUAACUGAAGGAGGGGAUUGCGCCUGGUUAGCGAGGUGGAGGGGUAACGGCCGACCAAUGCGAUGAUCAGUAGCCGGUCUGAGAGGAUGAACGGCCAAAUUGAGAUUGAGAAACGGCCCAGACUCCUACGGGAGGCAGCAGUGGGGGAACCUCCGCAAUAGCCGACAGGCUUACGGAGCAACGCCCCGUGAGUGGUGACGGCCUUCGGGUUGUAAAGGUCUGUUACUCGGGACGAAAGGCCUUCUUGCGAAUACUGAGAAGUACUGACGGUACCGGAAUAGAAAGCCACGGCUAACUACGUG
rnacentral:rRNA from 1 species